UAUACACGUGUUUUAUCGUAUAUAUAUCGUAGAAUUUGUAUAUUCUCGAUUCAUGAGAAUGCUUGUCGAGAAUGUUAAAAAGAAGUCGUCUUUUCGAACGAUCUUUUAUUGACAAUUGAAAUUGAAGAGAUAAGAUUUGCCUGCGCGAAGGGAGGGGAAAUUCGGCCUGUCCACACCCUUGGAACGCAGUGGCGGAUUGGAAGAGAGAGGCUCGCAGCUGGGCGAAACGUGGCCGAAAAAAAAAACGGGCACGAUUUUUCGGAAAACGAAGGCUCGCAGCAAGAGCAGAAAGACAGAAAAGGAGCCGGCACGACCGGCCGGCUUACACACACUGACUUCUGACUGGUCGAGCUAGGAUCGACGGAUGCGGUCCUGAUGCGUGCCACCGUUCCAUCCACACGCGUCCAUUAUUUCUUUCGUGUGUAUUUCUCCUCGCGUGUCUCGUGCCAACCUUCCGUAUCGGUUAAUUUUUCCUUUCCUUUGUCGUCGUCGAAGGGGAAGAGAUGGGAAGGGGGAGGGGAGAAGGGGAAAAGCAGCAGGGAAUUUUUCACGCGUGGCGCCACGACUUUCCGUAGAAAGUAGGAAGGAGAGGCUACGUUGGUAGUGAAGUGUUGUCGCGUUCGAUGCUAGCUUUUUCUUUUCUUCUUUUUUUUUUUUCUUUUUUCGUUUGUUUCGUCCGUUCGAUCCGUUUUUGCUCGUUGAGUAAAAGAGAAUCGUCGUUCGGGAUUAAUACGGUAGAAUAUUUUUCUUUCUUUCGUGGUGAAUGUUCGAGUGAUUUGCAAACGUAUUCCGUUCGUUAUAGGUUAUGUUCUUUUACGUGAUUAGUUUUAGCUUGCUUCGGAUCAAGUCGCGUCAAGAAUCGAAUUUCUCUGUUGAAUUUUAACUUUGCAUCAUGAUGUAUUGAUAAAUAAAUUUUUUGAUUGAUAUUAAUUUUAUGCUGAAUGAAUAUUUAUAAAGCAUGUUUAUUGUUGAGAGAAUUAUUAUGUAUAGUGUUUUUGAUGUUGAAUUAGUUUUAGUUGUUUUAUUAUAGAUUGAAUAAGAAUUGAUAUUUGUUGAAUUUUUACAUUAUUGUUAAAAAAAUUUUAAAAGUAAUAUUAAUUGUAAUAUCGUUGAAUCAGUGCCUCGAAUUUUUUGUUUUUAUUAUUAGAAGAUUUUGAAUAAUGAAGAGUUGUUCAAUUUUAAUUUUCUUUCUUUAUUUUUACUUUUAACUUAAAAAAAACUAAAUUAAAUGUACACAUCAAUGUCUAAAGAGAUUAAAAUGAUUGUAAUGUGAAAAAAUUGUUAUAUUCUGUCGAUGAAAAAUUAUUACAAUAUUAUGUGACGAUACGAUACUUUGAAUGUUCGCCGCAUUAUUAUAAUUUGCAUGGAAAUUGUUUUCCACGAUGAUACGCUAUUAAACAUUAUAAUAAACUAAUAAAAUGAA